rnacentral:rRNA from 1 species
UUAGGAAUCUUCCACAAUGGGGGCAACCCUGAUGGAGCAACACCGCGUGCUGGAUGAAGGCUUUCGAGUUGUAAACAGCUUUUAUUUGCGAAGAAUAUGACGGUAACAAAUGAAUAAGGGUCGGCUAACUACGUGCCAGCAGCCGCGGUCAUACGUAGGACCCAAGCGUUAUCCGGAGUGACUGGGCGUAAAGAGUUGCGUAGGCGGCUAUUUAAGUGAGUAGUGAAAUCUGAUGGCUCAACCAUCAACCCAUUACUCAAACUGGGUAGCUUGAGAAUGGUAGAGGUAGUUGGAAUUUCUUGUGUAGGAGUGAAAUCCGUAGAUAUAAGAAGGAACACCAAUGGCGUAGGCAGACUACUGGACCAUUUCUGACGCUGAGGCACGAAAGCGUGGGGAGCGAACCGG